UCAGCUAUAUGACAGUCUAGUAUAAGAUGAAGUUUAUUUGGGUACAUGAGAAAGAGGGAGUGGGGGUGAGAAGAGAGUAGAGGCAGAGAGAGGGGAAGAAGAAGAAGAAGAAGAAGAAGAAGAAGAAGAAGAAGAAGAAGAAGAAGAAGAAGAAGAAGAAGAAGAAGAAGAGGAAGAGGAAGAGGAAGAGGAAGAGGAAGAGGAAGAGGAAGAGGAAGAAGAAAGAGGAGGAGGAGGAGGAGGAGAGAGAGAAAGAGGAAGAGAGAGGGAGGGAGAGAAAGACAGAGACAGAGAAAGAGACAGAGGAGAAAGGGAGAGAGGAGAGAAGAGGCAGGCUGUCAAUAAGUGGAAAGAUGUGGGCAGGGAUGCCAGAGAGAGGCAGGAGGGGGUGGUCAGAGAGAGAGGCCAAACAGUCCUUUUAAGGCAAGCCAGGCUGUUGCUAGGUAACUGCUGGGCAGAACCUAGAAGAAAUGCUAACCUGUGAACACCUAGGAGAUCUAUAAAUGUACAGCAGAGCAUGUUCUCCCCAAAGAGACCAGGGUAGGUAAGAUUCAAUGCAACAAAGACACUCGGAUGAAGAGGACAAUCAUGCUUGCUGGAAAGAGGUCCCAUGAAAGUACUGAGAGCUGCACCCAGGACCCCUGUCUCACUCUGGCUGAAAUCACAGUGGAGGACCCAAAGGACUCAUGAACCAAUCUACCAAUUUCUUUUUAGCACCUCUGUCUCCUAAGAUACCUGAGAAAACAGAGCACUGAACAGUCUUUAGCUCAAGUACGCUCAUGUGUCAUGGACCAAAGGAAUCAAGGGUCUUACCUGAGCCAAAGUCUAGAGCAUUUCUGAGGUUGAGACUAGUUUGGUCUACAGAGUGAGUUCCAGGACAGCUAGGGCUACAAAGAGAAACUCUGCCUCAUAAGGAGGAGGGGAAGGAGGAGGAGGAGGAGGAAGGAAGGAAGGAAGGAAGGAAGGAAGGAAGGAAGGAAGGAAGAAAGGAAGAAAGGAAGAAAGGAAGAAAGGAAGAAAGGAAGAAAGGAAGAAGAAAGGAAGACAGACAAGACAGGUGCCAAUAACAACAAUGGGAGGAGUCCAUGUGGAUAUUGAUAAUUUGCUGCAAAUCACAGUGAUCACGUCCAGCCUCAUUCCUAAGGCUCCCACAUGCCCAUUCAGGAACCCCUUCUCCAGCUGGGCCUAAGCGAUGUGUCGGUCAGGCAUGGUACUGUAGCAGCAUAGAGCAGCCCAACAUGGUCUCUUGCUAGAGGAAACUGCCUCUUUAGCGUGUUCCCAGGACAGAUGGCCAUUUUCCAAUUUACCAGUUUUAUGUUCACAAUUUACUUUUUUUAUGAGCGCUUUACUCCGAAAUGAGCAAGAAUCGUGUGGUCACAUUACUUUUAUAGCCAAGAAUAUUGGAAGACUGCAACAAAACCUCCAUGGCCUCUGCCCACCUCCUCCCUGCCGAGUUUUUGGCAGCAUGCACAGAAUGCUGCAUGUCAGAAUGGAGUGUGUCAGAGCUGGGUCCGGGCUGUCUGAGCACUUCCUGCCUUUGUUUUCAACAAGCCACUUAGGUAUGGACUCUGUCCUCUGCAUGUCUUUCUGAGGCUUAAGUUCACAGUGGCUACUACCAAUGCUUCUGUGUUCAUGGUCAGGCUUCUACAGAAUAGAAAGAGUGCCAGUGUUGGCUCCACCCACUUCAGCUGACACUUCAGGAGUCAGAAUUGUAGGAAACUCAACCUGAAUCCACUUAGGAGGUUGGAGGCAGCUGAGGACUCCUGCCGGGCAAGGAUGGAGACUACUGGGAACUCUCUCAGUGCAUGAAAUAUUCAGCCAUUCUCUGACCAAUCAAUCAAUUGCAGUUCAUUUUUUCAUGUUUUUCCCAGUUUCUGUUUGUUUGCUUUGUUUGUUUGUUUGUUCCAGUUACCUGAGAUCAACCACAGUCUGAAAAUAUGAAACAGAAACC
rnacentral:lncRNA from 1 species